rnacentral:sRNA from 12 species
UGGCGUUGAAGCGGCAAGCUGUUUCGGGUCGCAGUUUUCCGUGGAGCUUGAUCGAGGGUUAUGUGUUACCUCAACCCGAAUAGGCAUUCGCCGAAAGAAAACACUUCAU